GCAGGUUUGAUUUUGUAAAGUUCAAGUUUUUUGUGUGUGAAGCAGUAUAGCUCAACUACAUUUUGUUCCCUCUUUACUUUUAAAUUGCUGACUGGAUGUUGAACUAAUUCUCUGCCUUCUCCAUCACUUACGUGGUUCCCUAUUUGGUUGAUCUAUUGUACUCAUGUAUAUUUCAAGAUACUAGGAAACGUAGCUAUCAAUUAUCUUGUAUACAAAAGGUUUGGGACUGGAUCUUCUAAUGAAAGCUGGAGCAGAAGAAGAAGUCCAGGAGGGAGAGAUGGAGAUGUGAGCAUGUAUACAUAUGUUCUGGAGACACUAGACUUAUCCGGUGGUGUGUGCGUGCUAUUGUAUCCUCUUUCGGCCACUCUAAUCUACACCCUCAGUACAAGCCGAUGCAACGUCAAGAUCGACAGGGGUGCGGGGUUCAGUUCGACGAUGACGAGCCAGGCAACUAGCCUUUGCAUCAUGAACUGGCGCAGUUUGAUCUUGUAAGAAAUGGAAAUUCCCUGAUGUUGAGUGUGUCAGUACAUUUGCUUGGCAGCUUUGCUACUCUAGUUAGUAACAUAUCACUUGCUAAAUCAAAAUUAUUUUGUUGUUCACUUUCCUGUGUUUUGUUGAAUAAUUCUCAGGCUUUAUUUUCUGAGAGCUACAAAAAUCAUAGUGCUCAAAAUACUGAUGUGUGUGUCAUACUUGAAUUAAAUAAAGUUAGAGGAGAAAGUACCCAUAUUCCAUUACUUUGAGAAGUACAAGUACACCUUUCUGACAGUACAGUGUAGGCCCGGUGUUGGCCCUGCACAAAUGGCGUCUUCAGCUCAGCACGCUACCUCCGUCGGUGGGUCUCCGUCCCUAUUCAAAUUUUUCCGGUGCAUCUUUAUAUUUUGUUCAGUUCAACUAUUUGCCGGUCAUAAGUCCAAUUUCAUCUGUGUUUCCAUGUUCUUCCUAUAGCAUAAGUUGAUUGGCAUUACUGUAACACUGAUCAAGCCAACUGCAUGUAUUUAGUGAUUAAUGUCAUUUGGAAAAAACUUUUACACUUGCUGUGAUGCCUUACAAUCAAGACAUUUUUUAUAUAAACACUGUUGCAAUAUGAAUGUCAAGGAAAAGCAUGUGAAAAUGCCCUCUAUAGGAGAAAGGCUUCUACAGAAAAUACUGUUGCAACAUUUUAGGCAUGCGAUUACAAUUUUUUUUGGCAAUUUAUUUUAGGUAUGCGAUUACACUUUUUUUUGUCGUCAGGCGUUUGCUUAAAUGCCUAAACAAAGAUCUAUUUUUGUUCAGUUCAAAAUCUAGUUUUAGUUCAGUGCAAACCUUAUUUUAAGUUUACUACAAUUUCUUAUUUUAGUUCACCUUUGGGUUU